rnacentral:lncRNA from 13 species
ACCGCGUUUGGCAUUAAUUAUGUCUUUAACUGUGGCUACCCUAAGACUUUGUCAUCCACAGACAAUUGUCUUGUUUUGAUUCUCUUUAAAGGAUGGUUUAUAAUCAGCUAUUGUACUGACAAGUACUCUUGAAUGCAGCUCUCUGAUAACUUUGGAAAGUAUGCCUUUAUAAUAGAGAGAAUGAACUUACAAGACUUUCUUGGAAAACUAAUGUGAUUAUAAAUAUCAUGCAAAACAGGAAUUAAUUACAUAGACUAAACUAAUGGAAGACCAAAAUUUUCUUUUUAUGAUGUUUUGCUUAACAUGUUGCCCAAUCUUUCUCCUUUGUUUUUCACAGUCAAGACAACUUUUCUUUGGAGCUUUCAACAAUUGAGUAAAGUAUACUCCUAUGAGCAAAAUUUUGAGCUUCUUUCUUUCUGUCUACCUGAGUUUACCAGAAUUUGGAAACUAUCUGUUUUUUUCCUGAAAUUUAGACUGACCCUGCUUAUUUCUAUAAAUCAAUCAGUGAUCUCUGGCUGCUGCUCAAAAGAAAAGAGAGAGAUAGGCCCUUCGAGAUCCACAGACACUAGAAGAGACUUUCCCCUAUUCACGUGAAGACUGGAUGGGCUCUCUAAGAGCAAUUUUUUCUCCUUCCCCUCCCUGUGAUUUUAUUAUCUAUCACACAAAAGAAGACCAACAAUAUAACCGCAUUCUUGAACAGACUCAGUCACAAGGGGGUGCUCCUGUCAGACUGGCCAUGGAGGAUAACAUGUUCCAUGGACGAUACCCUGUUCCAGUUGAAAUUUAUCAUGAAGCAGCUGAAGAAACUGGCAAAGAAGGCAGAAAAGCACUCCUAGGCCAAAGUGAGGAAGGCCCUUCAGCAGAAAAAUGCACCUGUGUACACCAAGAACAAGAAGAACAUUCGCAAGAAGAACAGCAGUGUCACCGGGAGUGGUGGCUCACGCCUGUAAUCCUAGCACUUUGGGAGGCCAAGGUGGGUGGAUCACCUGAGGUCAGGAGUUCAAGACCAGCCUGACCGUCAUGGUGAAACCCCAUUUAAAAAAGAACAGAAGCGUGAACCGGCUCCGCGUGGCAUCCCGCCUGGACACUGGCCUCUAAGGUGCAGACAGCUAUGACCAUGAAGGCAGUGACCAAGAACAUGGUGUGGGUGACCAAAGCCCCGGACAAGGCCCUGAACACCAUGGACCUGUAGAAGGCUUCUGCAGUGAUGGACAGGUUUGAGCAGCAAGUGGCCAUGCACGCGCAAGUGAUGGAGGAUUCCAUGAGCUGGGCCACUGCACGGACCAUGCCUCAGGAGCAGGCGGACAGCCCCAUUGUGCAGAGGAGAAUGGCCUGGAGGUCCUAGAGCAGCUCAGCCAGUUGUCCAAGGGUGCCUCUGCCGGGGCAAGAGCUCCAUGUGAAGCCAGGAAGAACAGCUGUCACC